rnacentral:lncRNA from 1 species
GCUGGUUCAGUAGGUCAGGGGCUUCACCAAAGCAGUGUAGGCCAUGCAGCGGCAGCCGCAACAGCCGCAGGCAUCAGUGCGGCUGGAAAGAGCAUCGCCGGAGUUUCAGAAUCUGACGACCGGAUGGGCCACUUGGGCCAGUCGCCCUGUCUUCCUCGAAAAGGAGAAACAGAAGGUGGAGAGCCCUCCGUCCGAUCAUGAUUCCACCUCCUGAGGGUUCCUAUCUCUGUUCCACCAGAAGACCCUCGAGACUCGCAGUCGAGAAGACCUCUUGGAUCAAAGAUUCCAGGAGAUGAACCGGCGGAUCGAGGAGCUCCGUCAUGCUCCCACU